CCUCCCGUUCUUGGCGGGCCUCGGCGGCCUCGUGCCGGGGCCUGUGAUGUUCCGGAGGCAGAGAAGUGACCGGCGCGAAGUCUUCGGUGCCGGCGGCCGCCUCCGCCGGUCCUACCCUCACACGCCGGGACACGC
ensembl:snoRNA